rnacentral:rRNA from 1 species
CACGUAGGGCGCAAGCGUUGUCCGGAAUUAUUGGGCGUAAAGAGCUCGUAGGUGGUUUGUUACGUCCGCUGUGAAAACCUAGGGCUUAACCCUGGGCUUGCAGUGGAUACGGGCAGACUAGAGGUAGGUAGGGGCAAGUGGAAUUCCUGGUGUAGCGGUGAAAUGCGCAGAUAUCAGGAGGAACACCGGUGGCGAAGGCGGCUUGCUGGGCCUUACCUGACGCUGAGGAGCGAAAGCGUGGGGAGCGAACAGG